rnacentral:rRNA from 1 species
UACGGGGGGGGCAAGCGUUGUUCGGAAUUACUGGGCGUAAAGAGCUCGUAGGCGGCUUGUCGCGUCAACUGUGAAAACCCGUGGCUCAACCAUGUGGUCUGCAGUCGAUACGGGCAGGCUAGAAUUCGGUAGGGGAGACUGGAAUUCCUGGUGUAGCGGUGAAAUGCGCAGAUAUCAGGAGGAACACCGGGGGCGAAGGCGGGUCUCUGGGCCGAUAUUGACGCUGAGGAGCGAAAGCGUGGGGAGCGAACAGG